UACGAAGGGGGCUAGCGUUGCUCGGAAUUACUGGGCGUAAAGGGCGCGUAGGCGGCACUGCAAGUCAGGCGUGAAAUUCCUGGGCUCAACCUGGGGACUGCGCUUGAGACUGUGGAGCUAGAGGAUGGAAGAGGGUCGUGGAAUUCCCAGUGUAGAGGUGAAAUUCGUAGAUAUUGGGAAGAACACCGGUGGCGAAGGCGGCGACCUGGUCCAUUACUGACGCUGAGGCGCGACAGCGUGGGGAGCAAACAGG
rnacentral:rRNA from 1 species